rnacentral:rRNA from 1 species
UACAGAGGUCUCAAGCGUUGUUCGGAUUUACUGGGCGUACAGGGAGCGUAGGCGGUUCGGUAAGCCCUUUGUGAAAUCUCCAGGCUUAACCUGGAACAGUCGGAGGGGACUGCUGAGCUAGAGGACGGGAGAGGAGCGCGGAAUUCCCGGUGUAGCGGUGAAAUGCGUAGAGAUCGGGAGGAAGGCCGGUGGCGAAGGCGGCGCUCUGGAACGUUUCUGACGCUGAGGCUCGAAAGCGUGGGGAGCAAACAGG